GGUUAGCUCUGUCGGAAGAGCACUCGUCUUUUAACCGUGUGAUCUUGGGUUCCGUUCCCUCAU
rnacentral:tRNA from 1 species